GCUGAGUUAGCUCAAUUGGUAGAGCAACUGUAUCGUAAACAGUAGGUUAUGAGUUCGAUUCUCAUACUCAGCU
rnacentral:tRNA from 1 species